rnacentral:rRNA from 1 species
UGCAGUCGUGCGGUAACAGACAUAAAGAUUUAGCUUGCUAAAUCCGGUGCUGACGAGCGGCGAACGGGUGAGUAACACGUAGGAAUCUACCCAGUAGCGGGGGAUAGCCCAGGGAAACUUGGAUUAAUACCGCAUACGCCCUAAGGGGAAAAGAAGGCCUCUCUUUGAAGCUUUCACUAUUGGAUGAGCCUGCGUAAGAUUAGCUUGUUGGUGGGGUAAAGGCCUACCAAGGCAACGAUCUUUAGCUGGUCUGAGAGGACGAUCAGCCACAUUGGGACUGAGACACGGCCCAGACUUCUACGGAAGGCAGCAGUUAGGAAUAUUGGACAAUGGGGGCAACCCUGAUCCAGCUAUACCGCGUGUGUGAAGAAGGCCCUAGGGUUGUAAAGCACUUUAAGCAGGGAAGAAGUAUAUUAAGUUAAUACCUUAAUAUAUUGACGUUACCUGAAGAAUAAGGACCGGCUAACUCCGUGCCAGCAGCCGCGGUAAUACGGAGGGUCCAAGCGUUAAUCGGAAUUACUGGGCGUAAAGCGCGCGUAGGCGGUUUAAUAAGUUGUAUGUGAAAGCCCUGGGCUCAACCUAGGAACUGCAUACAAAACUAUUAAGCUUGAGGACGAGAGAGGAGAGUAGAAUUUCAGGUGUAGCGGUGAAAUGCGUAGAUAUCUGAAGGAAUACCAAUGGCGAAGGCAGCUCUCUGGCUCGUUUCUGACGCUGAGGUGCGAAAGCGUGGGUAGCAAACAGGAUUAGAUACCCUGGUAGUCCACGCCGUAAACGAUGAUAACUAGCCGUUGGGCAGAUUUAACUGUUCAGUGGCACAGCUAACGCAUUAAGUUAUCCGCCUGGGGAGUACGGCCGCAAGGCUAAAACUCAAAUGAAUUGACGGGGGCCCGCACAAGUGGUGGAGCAUGUGGUUUAAUUCGAUGCAACGCGAAGAACCUUACCAACCUUUGAAAUCCAGAGAAGUCACCAGAGAUGGAGAUGUGCCUUCGGGAACUCUGUGACAGGUGUUGCAUGGCUGUCG